ACGUCAGAACUGUUUCGGUCUUCCAUCAGGGUUUCCCCUGACUUCAACCUGAUCAAGUAUAGUUCACCAUCUUUCGGGUCACAGCAUAUUUGCUCAAGGUACCGUUCCAGUUAGAGGUAUAAAUAAUAUAAAUAUCAUCAUACAUAACUAUAUAGAACGCCCCGGGAUUGUGUUAAUUAACUAUAAAUAGUUAAAAAACUAAUCCCAUUAAUAGUCAAGUUAAUUACGCUAUUAGGUUU
rnacentral:rRNA from 1 species